GACUUGGAACAACUGCAAUUGAGCUACCAGCACCAGAUCUUCAACCUACUUGUGAGAGUAUGAGUAACGGUGAGAGGAUUUUGCACCGCCACGACCAGUUCGAUGGAUAACCAUAGGAGUGUACUCGAUGACUGUGGACAGAGGGGGCUUCUCUGAGCGGAACAGGUAGAGGUGGGCUGGAUUGCGUUGAGACGCGGUGAGCAGAAGCUUCUUUGCCGUAACUGCGUCAUCCCAAAGCAGAAGCGAAACCGUAAUCGAGCUUUUGGCUUUGGAAGCCUGAUCAGAACUCGCAGUCAUGAUCUCUUUCUGCUUCGAUUUCUUAUCGGCAGUCCACAAUCACUGAUAUAACUGAUUUGGUUGGUUAGCCAUGAUGAACAACAGCAGCACUAUUCCUAGUUGCAACUUUGAGAGUGAUGCCUGUGUCAUCAAUCGAACGAGUCCAAUAGGCAAACGUCAUACUGAAAGCAGUUGAAUACUUUUGGAAGCAAAGGUGAAAACAUUGCAAACUCGGAAGAAUUUCUUAGGUAUAUUCAUU